rnacentral:rRNA from 1 species
AUUGAACGCUGGCGGCAUGCCUUACACAUGCAAGUCGAACGGUAACGCGGGGCAACCUGGCGACGAGUGGCGAACGGGUGAGUAAAGCAUCGGAACGUGCCCAGUAGUGGGGGAUAGCCCGGCGAAAGCCGGAUUAAUACCGCAUACGACCUAUGGGUGAAAGGGGGGGAUCGCAAGACCUCUCGCUAUUGGAGCGGCCGAUGUCAGAUUAGGUAGUUGGUGGGGUAAAGGCCUACCAAGCCGACGAUCUGUAGCUGGUCUGAGAGGACGACCAGCCACACUGGGACUGAGACACGGCCAAGACUCCUACGGGGGGCAGCGGUGGGGAAUUUUGGACAAUGGGCGCAAGCCUGAUCCAGCCAUGCCGCGUGCGGGAAGAAGGCCUUCGGGUUGUAAACCGCUUUUGUCAGGGAAGAAAUCCUUUGGGUUAAUACCUCGGGGGGAUGACGGUACCUGAAGAAUAAGCACCGGCUAACUACGUGCCAGCCGCCGCCGUAA